CCUUACCAAGUCUUCCCACUUCUUAGCGAUCAAGAUGACCGAUCUGUUGGACAAGUUGCAAAGAAUGUACAUCCAGGAAAUAGUCAGAUUACAUGGAGUGCCAAAGACAGUAGUGUCCGACAGGGACCCCAGGUUCACUUCUUUGUUUUGGUCUAGUUUCUAACAAGCCAUGGCAACGAAACUAUCCUUUAGUACUACUUUCCACCCUUAUACCAAUGGAUAGUCAGAAAGGAUGAUCCGCACACUUGAGGACAUGCUCUGAGCUUGUGUUCUUGACCUUGGGGACCAUUAGGAUGACCAUCUACCCCUGAUAGAGUUCGCCUACAACAAUAGCUACCAAGCAAGUAUUGGCAUGGCUCUAUAUGAGGCAUUGUAUGGCCACCCAUGCAGAUCGCUGAUCUAUUGGGAAGAAGUGGAUGAUAGAAAACUGUUCGGCCUAGACCUUGUAGAGGAGACUACAACCAAAAUAGUUAAGAUCAGGAAGAACAUUCAGACGGCUCACAGCAGGCAGAAGAGUUAUGCGGACACCUGGAGGAGGGUUUUGGAAUUUGAGAAAGAUGAUCGAGUGUUCCUUAAGGUCACCCCUUUCAAGAGAAUCAGUAGGUUUGGCAAGACGGGGAAACUAAGCCCCGCUUAAUUGGGCCAUUUGAGAUCUUAGACAGAAUUGGUACCGCCGUCUACAGACUUCCUUGCCUCCAGAACUUUUCAGGGUCCAUAAUGUGUUUCAUGUGUCUACGCUACGCAAGUACAACAAAGACCCCUCUCACGUCUUGGCCCACGAGCCUCUUUCACUAUAGGAGGAUCUAUCCUAUGAGGAAGUACCAGUCGGUAUUGUGGACCGAAAGAGCAGAUUACUCUGCAAAUAGAAAAUUCCCUUCGUUAAGGUCAUCUGGUAGAAUCACACACUGAGAGAGGCCACAUGGGAGUUAGAAUCAGACUUCAGAGCCUAAUAUCCCUAGCUGUUUGAUUGAGAGUGAGAGAGACAAAUUUGAGGGACCAAAUUUCUUUUAAGGCGGAGAGAGUUGUAAUGCCCAAAUUAAUUUAAAUUUAAAUUAAAUUAAUUAUAAAUAUGAUUUUUUAAUGUUUUAAUUUUAGUGUAAAAAUGAAAGAAAUAUGGAGGAUGAAAUUGAAAACAAUUUUGGAAAAAAGGGGUGAAAAUUUGGGUUAUGGGGGUAUUUUUGAAAGAAAAAUUAGAAACCUGGGGUCAAAAUAUAAUUUAAAAAUUUUUUACCAUGUAGGAUGCCCGGUCAGCAGCCCCGACGAACUAAGUUGCAUCACAUGGCAAUGGAUGCUGACGUGGUGCCACGCGAGAGGCCAUACGGGCGAUUCACUUGCCCACAAUUGAAUGGCCCAGAUUCGUUCCCGCACGCACGGACGACCUGGAUGCGUUCCCUCCCCAAACGCAAUCGAACAACCAGAUUUAAAUGUUAUCAGACGGUCCAGAUCAGAUCGCGAUGAACGGUUCAGAUUCACUCCCUAUUUAAUCGUGAUCAGACGGUCCAGAUCAAACGCGAUAGAAGGCCCAGAUUAAAUAGAGAUGGAUAUAAAUAACCCUUUUCACACCAAACCCUAACCCUAGUCGUCGGAUGCCCUCGCCGGCGAAGAAGACUUAGCAGCCGAGAAUGAGAGCCGCCGCCACCCGCUGCCGCACUAGAGCCCUUUCCGACCGCUAAAAGAGGUAAAAUUUCCCCCUUUGCUCAGAAUUCAAUUUUAACACCCCCAUGGCCAAAUUAGAGCAAAAGAACCGACUGAUUGGUGAGAAAUCACAUUAAUUAAACUUUGCCCCCGGUCAGAAAUCAGAGCAAAAGACCUGUGUUGGUCUUGCCGAGCGGGUCGGGUGGAUAUACAGUUUACAGUGAUGCCUCUUACUUAGGGUUGAGUUAGGUUGUGUUUUGAUGCAGUAUUGGAAGGUCAUAGCCUAUGGGUCUAGAUAGUUGAAGAAUCAUGAGGAAAACUACCCCACCCAUGACUUAGAACUUGCCACAAUUAUCCACACCUUGAAGACUUAGCACCGUUAUUUGUAUGGGGAGACCUUUCAGAUCUAUACUGAUUAUAAGAGCUUGAAACACAUAUUCACUCAAAAAAAUCUCAACAUGCGUAAGAGAAGGUGGAUAGAACUCCUCAAAGACUAUGACUGUGACAUCAUGUAUCAGCCGAGUAAGGGCAACGUGGUAGCCGAUGCACUCAGCAGGAAAAACACAGGUAUAUUAACUCAUUUGAUGGUUUCAAAAUAUAGGUAGAUAGGGACUGCACAACAAGUACAACUUCAGGAACUGAAGAGAGUCACAUGUUUGGGCCACCUGACUGCCAGAGUUAAUCCAGAGAAUAAAGGAAGCUCAAUCCGUCGAUUCCACCCUAGCAACCUCAAGAAAGAUGCAGAACAAGGAGUUAACUAAAAAUUCCGAGUCUCUACUGAUGGGUUGCUUAGAUUUCAGGACAGCGUGUGUGUUUUAGGUGACAGUGAGUUGAAAAGGGACAUCAUGAUAGAGGCCCAUAGCUCAAUGUUUACCAUCAUCCCGAAAGCACUAAAAUGCAUCAAAGUAGGUGACCCCAAUUUUGGUGGAACGGGAUGAAAAGAGAUAUAGUUGACUUUGUUUCCAAGUGUUUGGUAUAUCAGUAAGUAAAGGCUGAGCAUCAAUGCUCAGGUGGGCUACUUCAGCCAAUAUCAAUUUCAUAGUGGAAGUGGGAACAUAUCACCAUAGAUUUUGUGACAAUAUUGCCUAAGGCACGUUUAGGACAUGAUGCCAUUUGGGUAAUUAUUGACUGCUUUACCAAGUCUUCCCACUUCUUAGCGAUCAAGAUCUCUUGGACAAGUUGCAAAGAAUGUACAUCCAGGAAAUAGUCAGAUUACAUGGAGUGCAGUGAUAGUAGUGUCCGACUGGGACCCUAGGUUCACUUCUUUAUUCUGGUCUAGUUUCUAGCAAACCACGGGAACGAAACUAUCCCUUAGUAUUACAUUCCACCCUUAUAUCAAUGGAUAGUCAGAAAGGAUGAUCCGCACACUUGAGGAUCUGCUCUGACCUUGUGUUCUUGACCUUGGGGACCAUUAGGAUGACCAUCUACCCCUGAUAGAGUUCGCCUACAACAAUAGCUACCAAGCAAGUAUUGGCAUGGCUCUAUAUGAGGCAUUGUAUGGCCGCCCAUGCAGAUCGCUGAUCUGUUGGGAAGAAGUGGGUGAUAGAAAACUGGUAAGCCUAGACCUUGUAGAGGAGACUACAACCAAAUUAGUUAAGAUCAGGAAGAACAUUCAGACGGCUCAGAGCAGGCAGAAGAGUUAUGCGGACACCUGGAGGAGGGUUUUGGAAUUUGAGAAAGAUGAUCGAGUGUUCCUUAAGGUCACCCCUUUCAAGAGAAUCAGUAGGUUUGGCAAGACGGGAAAACUAAGCCCCGCUUAAUUGGGCCAUUUGAGAUCUUAGACAGAAUUGGUACCGCCGCCUACAGACUUCCUUGCCUCCAGAACUUUUCAGGGUCCAUAAUGUGUUU
rnacentral:lncRNA from 1 species